AGAGUUUGAUCCUGGCUCAGGAUGAACGCUGGCGGCGUGCCUAAUACAUGCAAGUCGAGCGAACGGACGAGAAGCUUGCUUCUCUGAUGUUAGCGGCGGACGGGUGAGUAACACGUGGAUAACCUACCUAUAAGACUGGGAUAACUUCGGGAAACCGGAGCUAAUACCGGAUAAUAUUUUGAACCGCAUGGUUCAAAAGUGAAAGACGGUCUUGCUGUCACUUAUAGAUGGAUCCGCGCUGCAUUAGCUAGUUGGUAAGGUAACGGCUUACCAAGGCAACGAUGCAUAGCCGACCUGAGAGGGUGAUCGGCCACACUGGAACUGAGACACGGUCCAGACUCCUACGGGAGGCAGCAGUAGGGAAUCUUCCGCAAUGGGCGAAAGCCUGACGGAGCAACGCCGCGUGAGUGAUGAAGGUCUUCGGAUCGUAAAACUCUGUUAUUAGGGAAGAACAUAUGUGUAAGUAACUGUGCACAUCUUGACGGUACCUAAUCAGAAAGCCACGGCUAACUACGUGCCAGCAGCCGCGGUAAUACGUAGGUGGCAAGCGUUAUCCGGAAUUAUUGGGCGUAAAGCGCGCGUAGGCGGUUUUUUAAGUCUGAUGUGAAAGCCCACGGCUCAACCGUGGAGGGUCAUUGGAAACUGGAAAACUUGAGUGCAGAAGAGGAAAGUGGAAUUCCAUGUGUAGCGGUGAAAUGCGCAGAGAUAUGGAGGAACACCAGUGGCGAAGGCGACUUUCUGGUCUGUAACUGACGCUGAUGUGCGAAAGCGUGGGGAUCAAACAGGAUUAGAUACCCUGGUAGUCCACGCCGUAAACGAUGAGUGCUAAGUGUUAGGGGGUUUCCGCCCCUUAGUGCUGCAGCUAACGCAUUAAGCACUCCGCCUGGGGAGUACGACCGCAAGGUUGAAACUCAAAGGAAUUGACGGGGACCCGCACAAGCGGUGGAGCAUGUGGUUUAAUUCGAAGCAACGCGAAGAACCUUACCAAAUCUUGACAUCCUUUGACAACUCUAGAGAUAGAGCCUUCCCCUUCGGGGGACAAAGUGACAGGUGGUGCAUGGUUGUCGUCAGCUCGUGUCGUGAGAUGUUGGGUUAA
rnacentral:rRNA from 1 species